GGAGAAGUACCCAAGUGGUGAAGGGGCUCCCCUGCUAAGGGAGUAGGUCGGGAAACCGGUGCAUGGGUUCAAAUCCCAUCUUCUCCG
rnacentral:tRNA from 1 species